UUGGAGGGCAAGUCUGGUGCCAGCAGCCGCGGUAAUUCCAGCUCCAAUAGCGUAUAUUAAAGUUGUUGCAGUUAAAAAGCUCGUAGUUGAAUUUCGGGGUCAGCAGGUUGGUCGUGCAGAUGGUAUGCACUGGCCUUGCUGAUUCCUCCCUCUUGAUGAGCCGUAAUGCCAUUAAUUUGGUGUUGCGGGGAAUCAGGACUGUUACUUUGAAAAAAUUAGAGUGUUUAAAGCAGGCAAGCGCUUGAAUACAUUAGCAUGGAAUAAUGAAAUAGGACGUUUAAUCCUAUUUUGUUGGUUUCUAGGAUUGACGUAAUGAUUAAUAGGGAUAGUUGGGGGCAUUAGUAUUCAAUUGUCAGAGGUGAAAUUCUUGGAUUUAUUGAAGACUAACUACUGCGAAAGCAUUUGCCAAGGAUGUUUUCAUUAAUCAAGAACGAAAGUUAGGGGAUCGAAGACGAUCAGAUACCGUCGUAGUCUUAACCAUAAACUAUGCCGACUAGGGAUCGGAUGAUGUUAAUUUUUUAAUGACUCAUUCGGCGCCUUACGGGAAAC
rnacentral:rRNA from 1 species